rnacentral:rRNA from 1 species
CACGUAGGGGGGCAAGCGUUGUCCGGAUUUAUUGGGCGUAAAGAGCUCGUAGGCGGUUUGUCGCGUCUGCUGUGAAAACUCGGGGCUUAACUCCGGGCCUGCAGUGGGUACGGGCAGACUAGAGUGCGGUAGGGGAGACUGGAAUUCCUGGUGUAGCGGUGAAAUGCGCAGAUAUCAGGAGGAACACCGGUGGCGAAGGCGGGUCUCUGGGCCGUAACUGACGCUGAGGAGCGAAAGCGUGGGGAGCGAACAGG